rnacentral:rRNA from 1 species
UUGGAGGGCAAGUCUGGUGCCAGCAGCCGCGGUAAUUCCAGCUCCAAUAGCGUAUAUUAAAGUUGUUGCAGUUAAAAAGCUCGUAGUUGAAUUUCGGGGUUCUACCGUUGGUCGGGCUAUUGUCUGUACUGGCGUGUAGAAUUUCUACCUUCUGGGGAACUAUCAUGUUAUUAAUUUAGCGUGGUAGGAAACCAGGACCUUUACCUUGAAAAAAUUAGAGUGUUCAAAGCAGGCUUAUGUCUGAAUACAUUAGCAUGGAAUAAUAAAAUAGGACGGUGGUCCUGUUUUGUUGGUUUCUGAAUCACCGUAAUGAUUAAUAGGGAUAGUUGGGGGCAUUAGUAUUCAAUUGUCAGAGGUGAAAUUCUUGGAUUUAUUGAAGACUAACUACUGCGAAAGCAUUUGCCAAGGAUGUUUUCAUUAAUCAAGAACGAAAGUUAGGGGAUCGAAGACGAUCAGAUACCGUCGUAGUCUUAACCAUAAACUAUGCCGACUAGGGAUCGGACAAUGUUAACUUUUCUUGACUCGUUCGGCGCCUUACGGGAAA